GCUGGGUGUGGUGGCGUGUGCCUGUAAUCCCAGCUACUCAGGAGGCUGAGGCAGGAGAAUUGCUUGAACCCAGGAGGUGGAGGUUGCAGUGAGCCAGGAUCUCGCCACUGCACUCCAGCCUGGGCAACAGAGUGAGACUCUGUCUCAA
rnacentral:SRP_RNA from 1 species